rnacentral:rRNA from 1 species
UGGGGAAUAUUGGACAAUGGGCGCAAGCCUGAUCCAGCCAUGCCGCGUGAGUGAUGAAGGCCUUAGGGUUGUAAAGCUCUUUCGGCGGGGACGAUAAUGACGGUACCCGCAGAAGAAGCCCCGGCUAACUUCGUGCCAGCAGCCGCGGUAAUACGAAGGGGGCUAGCGUUGUUCGGAAUCACUGGGCGUAAAGGGCGCGUAGGCGGCUUUAUAAGUCGGGGGUGAAAGCCUGUGGCUCAACCACAGAAUUGCCUUCGAUACUGUACGGCUCGAGACCGGAAGAGGUAAGUGGAACUGCGAGUGUAGAGGUGAAAUUCGUAGAUAUUCGCAAGAACACCAGUGGCGAAGGCGGCUUACUGGUCCGGAUCUGACGCUGAGGCGCGAAAGCGUGGGGAGCAAACAGG